rnacentral:rRNA from 1 species
UGGUGAGAGUUUCUACGAUAAUUUAUUUUAAAAAUUUAAUAUAUUUGGCGGUAGAGAGAGACCUCAGGGAAACCUGCGAAUUAAUUGGAUGAUCCACCAUUUUACUUUCUUAACAUGUUAGUUACCUGUAUGUCUGUUUAGGGUACUGUCCGAUCUAUAGCCGUCCAGUUUUUUUUAAACGUAAUUCCAGGCCAUAUAAGGAUUGGUGUUAAAGUUUCCUGGGUUGCAUUUUAAAAUAAUUGUGGUCCUGUUUAUUUAAAAUUUUAUUCCGAAUUUAAAAUUAAUUUUUUUUAAUUUAAUUUAAUUUCCUUUUUUUUUAAUUCCAAUCCCCUCCCCUUCUUUACA